GAUCUAGUGGCGAACGGAAUCGCAUCCCCUCCUCCUAAAGCUACCCGCGAAAAGAGAAUUCCGGGGGAAGAUCCUGGUUCGAGUCCAGGCUAGGUCA